rnacentral:rRNA from 1 species
GACGAACGCUGGCGGCGUGCUUAACACAUGCAAGUCGAACGAGAGGACAAGAGAAGCUUGCUUCUUUUGGAAUCGAGUGGCAAACGGGUGAGUAACACGUAAACAACCUGCCUUCAGGAUGGGGACAACAGACGGAAACGACUGCUAAUACCGAAUACGCUUGGGAGACCGCAUGAUCUUCCAAGGAAAGGGUGGCCUCUACUUGUAAGCUAUCGCCUGAAGAGGGGUUUGCGUCUGAUUAGGCAGUUGGUGAGGUAACGGCCCACCAAACCUACGAUCAGUAGCCGGCCUGAGAGGGUGAACGGCCACAUUGGGACUGAGACACGGCCCAAACUCCUACGGGAGGCAGCAGUGGGGAAUAUUGCACAAUGGGGGAAACCCUGAUGCAGCGACGCCGCGUGAGUGAUGAAGUAUUUCGGUAUGUAAAACUCUAUCAGCAGGGAAGAUAAAUGACGGUACCUGACUAAGAAGCACCGGCUAAAUACGUGCCAGCAGCCGACGG